GAUCGUCCGCUUUUGUCCUCUCCAAAAAGAUCAAAAGAAAAACCACAAAAAAAUCAGUGACCAUUGUUUUCAUCAACCGAACGUUACUCCCAAGCUUCAGCCAUUUUCCAAUUAAAGAUGCUCUAUUGAGAUACAAAGAACAAAUGAAUGUGAAAAAUAAAAACCUGAAAUUGACAACAGUGUGCCAAGCUCUAGCAAAUACAUUUAAGCCACACCAAUUCCACUCUCUACUGUUCGUUAAGUACGGUGAUCCUUAAGCCUAAUUGACCUUGGGUAUGAUUGGACCAAUGACUGCAAUUUCAACAAUAUCCAAACCCAGUUGAGUAGGUCCAAGGUCCCGGCGAAAUUUUGAAGAAAAGGUUUUGUACGAUUUUCGGUUAUGUGAAUUCAAGGUUGCUACCUCGUAUCAGCUUCCGGUUUUGUUUAUAUUUAGAAGGAUAAAUUUCUUUUUCUACAUUACAGGUUCGUGUAUCGAUCUAUUUUGUUCCUCCAUGCUCUUGUUAGUUUGUUAAAUGGUGUGAAGUGCUUUAGCUCAUGAAAUGCCUCCGAUGAUGUUUGUUUGCUUCUGUUAUAUAUGAAUCCAUGAAUGUCCUUUUCCUUUUUUUUAAUUACUCUAUUACUGAGUAUGCCUUUGAAGGUAACUCUUCUUUGAUUUCUGUGCCGUCUCUUUCUUUAGUUUGCUUGUAGGUAUUUUCUUGUAUUGAUCCUUUAUUGUAUCAUAUGGAAUUAAGCUCACUAACUUUUCUAAAAUGGAUUAGUUUUGGAAUGGGCAAUAAUCGUAUAAUGUAGAGUGGCCAUGAUUAGAUAGCUCAUUUGGAUCGUAUGGUCACUAACUCUAACCAGUUUAAUUUGAGGCACCGAAUCAAUUUGUGUCGUGUUAGUAAGUCUUCAAUAAUAUCUUGUCCAUAAUCCAUGGCCCUCGCAAAGUUGAAAGCGUAGAGUUGCUUUAGGCGCGUUAUUUUAAUAAUUUACCUUCCUAAACUCGGGUGCGCAUUUAUGUGACCCAAAUCCAAAUCUCAACAACGUUAGAUAAAAUGUGUCGUGAACCGCGGGUGCAUUUAUGUGACGUGGUUCAAGACAUGUUUUAGAUGACGUUGAAUUUUUCCUAAAAUUAAUUAAAUAAAGUGGUUAAGUUAAAAUUGCACCAUAGGAUAAACAUAUACUAAAAUCAGAUAAUAGGCCAAUUAUGACAGUUGAGCGACCGUGCUAAAACCACGGAACUCGGGAAUGCCUAACACCUUCUCCCGGGUUAACAGAAUUUCUUACCCGGAUUUCUGUGUUCGCGGACUGUAAACUUGAUAAUUAUUGAUCAUGUAUAUGUAUUCUCGUAUAUUUGCUUUCUGUGUGUUAUGAUCUGGACUACUAGCCUGUGACAACAUUGGGCGGAUUUUGAUUAUUGUUAUGUGAGUUGUCGGUGCGGUCGAUAUUAUUAGCGCAUAAGUUGUCUAUGUAGCACGUGAGUUGUCCGUGCGGAUCCAGAUAUUGAUAUUGUUAGCACGUGAGUUAUACAUGCAUCACGUGAGUUGUCUGUGUGGUUGAUAUUAUUAGCAUGUGAGUUGUCCGUGCAACGUGUGGAUAUAGAUCCACCCCCUAGGGCUACGCUUUCAUGUUUAUCUCUUGAUGGUGUACAUGCAGAUAAUGAGGAAAACUGAUUACGGAUACGUAAAGGUUGAGGAAAGUCAGGCCAGUGUUUGGUUGGAUUUGCAUUUCAUCUUACUUGCAAUUUCCAUGGUUAAUUACUCGAUUUAUGUGCAAAUCACCUUUAUAUGUUGUAUCAUUGACUGAACAGAGAACUUGAGUAAUUGUACACACCCACACAGAUAGUUGUUGUUGUGCUUUACGACCUGAU
rnacentral:lncRNA from 1 species